rnacentral:rRNA from 1 species
UACGUAGGGUGCGAGCGUUGUCCGGAAUUAUUGGGCGUAAAGAGCUUGUAGGCGGUUUGUCGCGUCUGCCGUGAAAUCCGGGGACUCAACCCCGGACUUGCGGUGGGUACGGGCAGACUAGAGUGUGGUAGGGGAGACUGGAAUUCCUGGUGUAGCGGUGAAAUGCGCAGAUAUCAGGAGGAACACCGAUGGCGAAGGCAGGUCUCUGGGCCACUACUGACGCUGAGAAGCGAAAGCGUGGGGAGCGAACAGG